rnacentral:misc_RNA from 1 species
AAUAAAUGUAACACUCGUCCUUUAGCAAAGCAGACUCGUCUGCCCUUUCCUACAAGUUCUAUAUCUACAAAAAGUUCUUUUGAAAUCUUACAUGUGAUGUUUGGGGACCACAUAAAGUCCCUACACAUUCAGGGGCGAGAUUUUUCCUUAGCAUUGUUGAUGACUACACUCGUUGUUCUUGGGUCUUUUUAAUGCACAAUAAAUCUGAAACAACAUCUUUGUUACAACGAUUUGUGGUUUUUGUUCAAAAUCAAUUUCAUAAAUCAAUUAAAAUACUUCGUACAGACAAUGGUACUGAGUUUCUUCCCAUAAUUUCUUUUCUACAAAAAAAUGAUAUUGAGUUUCAAAAUACAUGUGUCUAUACUCCACAGCAGAACGGAGUCGUUGAACGAAAACAUCGUCACAUCUUAAAUGUUGCUCGCUCCUUACUUUUUCAAUCAAAUGUGCCACUUCAUUUUUGGGGAGAAUGUGUUUUAACAGCUGUAUAUUUAAUCAAUCGGCUUCCUUCACCCUUACUCUCUAAUCAGUCCCCUUAUGAAAAAUUAUACCAAAAGCCACCUCCUCUUCAACAUCUCCGUGUGUUUGGGUGUGAGUGCUAUGCCACUAUUGUCCAACCUAAGCAAAAAUUUUCUCCCCGAGCUACACGCUGUGUUUUUCUUGGCUACCCACAUCAUCAAAAGGGAUAUAAAUUACUUGAUCUUGUCUCUAAUCAAAUUAUUAUCAGCCAAGAUGUUACCUUUAAUGAGAAUAUCUUCCCAUUCAUGACUUCUGAAUUACAUUACUCUUCUAGAACUGAUUCACCAUUAUCCUCACCUCCACCAUUAUUGCCAAAUCUUGCCAUAGAUCCUGCCACCUUACCAAAAAUAAAUUCUGAUCCUUCCUCAACAAAUUUAGAUGAUACCUUCCAUAAUAAUAUCGAUUCCUCCAUUCACAGUCCAUCACCAAAUCCUUCUGCACCUAUCGAAGCCCAGCCACUCAUUGAUCAACCCAAUAUAUCACCACCUGAUCCUCCACGCCGUUCCACUCGAGAUAAACAUCCUCCUGCAUGGCAUGAUUCUUACAUUCUGUCUACUCAAACCAAUGAUCCUACUGGUAAAAGGGUUUCACAAACAGGUACAAGGUAUCCACUCUCAUCUUUCCUUUCUUUUAAUCGUUUCUCUUCCUCUCAUAAACAUUUUCUGGCAAGCAUUUCUACUCAUACAGAACCACAGACAUAUGAUCAGGCCGCCGGUCAUCCCCAAUGGGAGAAGGCUAUGACUGCUGAACUUGAAGCAUUAGAACGGAAUCACACUUGGUCAUUGGUUCCUUUACCUCAUGGUAUUAAGCCUAUUGGAUGUCAUUGGGUUUAUAAAAUUAAAUAUAAUUCUGAUGGAACUAUUGAACGCUAUAAAGCUCGAUUAGUCGCUAAGGGCUAUACACAGGUUGAAGGGAUCGAUUACAAGGAAACCUUUUCCCCAACUGCUAAGCUCACCACUUUGAGAUGUCUUUUGACUGUUGCUGCUGCCAGAAACUGGUUUACCUAUCAAUUAGAUGUGCAGAAUGCAUUUUCACAUGGUAAAUUAAAUGAAGUGGUAUAUAUGCAACCGCCACCUGGAUUGCGCCGACAGGGGGAGAACACAGUGUGUCGGCUUCAUAAGUCCCUCUAUGGUUUAAAACAGGCCUCCAGAAAUUGGUUCUCUACAUUAUCCAAUGUUCUACAAGAAGGUGGCUAUACACAAUCUAAAGCUGACUAUUCCUUAUUCACCAAAGUUAAUGCAUCAUCUAUUACUGUUAUUCUCAUAUAUGUUGAUGACAUAUUAUUGACAGGGAAUGAUGAACAGGAAAUUAAUCGCCUCAAAUCAUAUUUACUUCAGCACUUUCAUAUCAAGGAUUUGGGCGACCUCAAAUAUUUUUUGGGGAUUGAGUUUUCCCGUUCCAAUCAAGGCAUUUUUAUGUCACAGAGAAAAUAUGCCUUGGAUGUGCUACACGACGCAGGACUCACAGGUGCUAAACCGGAGAAGUUUCCGAUGGAACAAAAUUGCAAAUUGGAUCUUGAUGACAAUGAAAAAUUACACGAUGCUACCAAAUAUAGAAGGUUAGUUGGCAGAUUAAUUUAUCUAACUGUGACUAGACCGGACAUUGUUUAUUCAGUUCGUGUGUUGAGCCAAUUUAUGCAUGAGCCAUGUAAAUCUCAUUGGAAUGCGGCAAUUCGUGUCCUCAAAUAUGUGAAAGGAAAUCCUGGUCAGGGAUUAUUUUUGCCAUCUAAUAAUAAUUUGCAAUUAAAAGCAUUUUGUGACUCUGAUUGGGGAGGUUGCCGAACAACUCAAAGAUCGGUAUCAGGAUAUUGUAUUUUCCUUGGUCCUUCUCUCAUAUCUUGGAAAUCAAAAAAACAGACAAAUGUUUCUAGAUCAUCUGCUGAAGCAUAAUACCGAGCAAUGGCGAAUACUUGUUUGGAGCUAACUUGGUUAAGGUAUAUCCUUCAUGAUUUAAGAGUAUCACAAGUAGGUCCUUCGCCACUUUACUGUGAUAAUCAAGCAGCACUUCACAUUGCUGCAAAUCCAGUGUUUCAUGAGAGGACAAAGCAUAUUGAGAUAGACUGCCACAUUGUUCGAGAAAAAAUGAUGUCAGGAAUUAUUCGUCCGGCGUAUGUUUCAACUAAGAUGCAAUUGGCAGAUAUUUUUACUAAGCCCUUAGGCAAAGAAACCUUUGAAUUUUUACGCAGCAAGUUGGGAGUGUUAGAUCUCCACUUACCAACUUGAGGGGGAGUAUUGGAAAAGAUAUUUGUUACCCUUUAUGUAAUUAUCUUUACCUAAAUUAGCUGCUGUAUAAAUAUAGUAAUAAGCUUUAUAUUAGCCUAUAAUAAGGGAGUAGUUAGUGCUGUAAAUGUAUUGAUUAGUGCAGUCUCUGUGUAUAAAUUAUGUACAUCACGUUUGAAGAAUAUAUACAAUUUUCUUUCCUAUCAUUUCUAUCUUAUUUGACAUGGUAUCAGAGCGCCGAUCUUGGUACUCUGUAUAAAAUUGUUCACCUUCUUCCGCUCGUUUUUCAAUGUCAAAAGAAGUUUCAGACCAAUCCAAAUCAGACAUUAUGGAUCCAUCACAUCCAUAUUACAUCCACCAUUCUGAUCAACCAGGACACUUGUUGGUUCCAACUAAGUUGAACGGAACAAAUUAUCAAUCCUGGUAUAAAAGUAUGACGCAUGCUCUCAUUGCCAAAAAAAAAUUGGGUUUCAUUGAUGGAUCUAUCAAAAUGACAUCAUCCACGGAACAGCCAACCGAAUUUGAAAAAUGGAACCAAUGUAACAGCAUGAUACUCUCAUGGAUAUCUCAUUCAGUCGAACCUGAUAUAGCAUCCGGCCUCAUGAAUGCCGAGACAGCCAAACAAGUGUGGGAUGAUCUUCGGGAUCAGUUUUCUCAGAAGAAUGCUGCUGCUAUAUUCCAAAUCCAAAAAGCAAUAGCAACAAUCACUCAGGGUACAAUGUCCGUGGCAGCCUACUACAUCAAAAUCAAAGCUUUGUGGGAUGAAUUAGAGAUUCAUCGUACACCAGUGACUUGCAAUCGCACCAAUGAUCACCAGACCGAAAGAGAGGAGGAUAAAUUGAUGCAAUUUCUCAUGGGGCUCAGUGAUCCUUACAAGAUUGUGAAAUCCAACAUAUUGCUGAUGAAACCAUUACCCAACGUUCGUCAAGCAUACUCCAUGAUCAUUCAAGAAGAAACCCAGCAACAGAUUGGUCCAAGCAUCACUGAGAAUUUCUCUGUAGCAGCUGCCGUUCAGAGUCGGUCAGUCACACAAAAAGGUGCUAAAGAAAAAUUUUGUGAACACUGCAACAGGUCAGGCCAUAAUAUUGAUGAGUGUCGCAAGUUAAAAUAUCAUUGCAAAUUUUGUGACAAUAGUGGGCACACAGAAGAUCGUUGUCGACUCAAAAAGGCUAACCAAAAUGCUAGAUCCAUACAAUCUAGCAACAAUCGAACUGGGGGACGUUCAGCCAAUGCUGUUGAAACAACAAUUGGGGGAGACAAUAGUACAGAAAGCUCCGGAUUUCCAGUUAAUUUUACCAAUGAACAAUUGCAAAAAUUAGCACAGGCUUUGACGAUGAUUAAUCAAAAUAAAAAUUCUGGCAAUGGAGAUAUAUUCGCUAAUGCAGCAGGUAUAAUCUCUCCAUUUAAUGCUUUUUCAAAUUCAGUUGUUAAGCCUUGGAUUCUGGACAGCGGGGCUACUGAUCAUAUCACCUCUGAUCCUUCUCUUCUCACACAAAUUCAGCUUCCUUCUGUUCCUCUUGUUAAUUUGCCAAUUGGUGCCACUGCCAACAUUACACAUACUGGCACAAUGUCUUUUAAUUCUCAACUAGUUUUAAAAAAUGUGUUGUGUGUUCCCUCAUUCAAAUUGAAUCUAAUGUCUGCCAGUAAAAUCACUAAUGCACUCAAUUGUUGUGUUAUUCUUUUUCCAAAUUUCUGUGUUUUACAGGACCUGGCUACGGGGAAGAUGAUUGGCUCGGGUAGACAGAAUGGCGGACUCUACUACAUACAUCCUUCAACCCCUUCACCAGCUGCAUAUCACACAUCUCAGUCUUCUUAUCUAUGGCAUUUGCGAAUGGGUCACCCAUCCUCAUCACGACUUGCACCCAUUCUAUCUUUUUUAAAACUUUCCAGCAAUAUUGAUAAUAAAUGUAACACUU